GAUGGAGGAGAGGAGAGCGAUGUGUUGAUACAGGGGAGACAGAUGGACAUCUGUGGAUUAGGUGAAGGAGGGGUUGAGGUCAGGAGGAGAGGACAGCGAUGUGUUGAUACAGGGAGACAGAUGGACAUCUGUGGAUUAGGUGAAGGAGGGGUUGAGGUCAGGACAGAGAUGUGUUGAUACAUGGGGAGACAGAUGGACAUCUGUGGAUUAGGUGAAGGAGGGGUUGAGUUCAGGAGGUGAGGACAGCGAUGUGUUGAUACUGGGGAGACAGAUGGACAUCUGUGGAUUAGGUGAAGGAGGGGUUGAGGUCAGGAGGUGAGGACAGAGAUGUGUUGAUACAUGGGGAGACAGAUGGACAUCUGUGGAUUAGGUGAAGGAGGGGUUGAGGUCAGGAGGUGAGGACAGAGAUGUGUUGAUACAUGGGGAGACAGAUGGACAUCUGUGGAUUAGGUGAAGGAGGGGUUGAGGUCAGGA
ensembl:lncRNA